rnacentral:rRNA from 1 species
UCUUAGCGGCGGACGGGUGAGUAAUGCUUAGGAAUCUGCCUAUUAGUGGGGGACAACAUUUCGAAAGGAAUGCUAAUACCGCAUACGUCCUACGGGAGAAAGCAGGGGAUCUUCGGACCUUGCGCUAAUAGAUGAGCCUAAGUCGGAUUAGCUAGUUGGUGGGGUAAAGGCCUACCAAGGCGACGAUCUGUAGCGGGUCUGAGAGGAUGAUCCGCCACACUGGGACUGAGACACGGCCCAGACUCCUACGGGAGGCAGCAGUGGGGAAUAUUGGACAAUGGGCGCAAGCCUGAUCCAGCCAUGCCGCGUGUGUGAAGAAGGCCUUAUGGUUGUAAAGCACUUUAAGCGAGGAGGAGGCUACUGAAGUUAAUACCUUCAGAUAGUGGACGUUACUCGCAGAAUAAGCACCGGCUAACUCUGUGCCAGCAGCCGCGGUAAUACAGAGGGUGCAAGCGUUAAUCGGAUUUACUGGGCGUAAAGCGCGCGUAGGCGGCUAAUUAAGUCAAAUGUGAAAUCCCCGAGCUUAACUUGGGAAUUGCAUUCGAUACUGGUUAGCUAGAGUGUGGGAGAGGAUGGUAGAAUUCCAGGUGUAGCGGUGAAAUGCGUAGAGAUCUGG